rnacentral:rRNA from 1 species
UGAACGCUGGCGGCGUGCUUAACACAUGCAAGUCGAACGAACCUUCGGGUUAGUAGCGGACGGGUGAGUAACGCGUGGGAAUCUGCCCUCAGGAGGGGGAUAACGGCUGGAAACGGCCGCUAAUACCCCAUAUGCCGAGAGGUGAAAUGAGUUUCGCCUGAGGAUGAGCUCGCGUCUGAUUAGCUAGUUGGUGGGGCAAGAGCCUACCAAGGCUUCGAUCAGUAGCUGGUCUGAGAGGAUGAUCAGCCACACUGGGACUGAGACACGGCCCAGACUCCUACGGGAGGCAGCAGUGGGGAAUUUUCCGCAAUGGGCGAAAGCCUGACGGAGCAACGCCGCGUGAGGGAUGAAGGCCUCUGGGCUGUAAACCUCUUUUAUCAAGGAAGAAGAUCUGACGGUACUUGAUGAAUAAGCCACGGCUAAUUCCGUGCCAGCAGCCGCGGUAAUCUGAUGGCGCGAGG